UACUUUGCCAGCUAAUUAGCGGUGGCCAGUGUCAUUUUUGUGAUGUUGCAGCUAGUAAUAUGAGCCCAGUUGCAUAGUCACAAAAGUGAUCAUUGGAAACUGUGACUGUACUGCAGGGACA
rnacentral:pre_miRNA from 8 species